GCACUGGAAGCGCCAUGGGAAAGUCGGCAGCAACAACAACAGCCACGACUGGCCGCCGUGUAACAUUGUUAUUGGAAAUGUGUUGUAGGCUCCCACAGAAACAACAACGAUGGCAGCCGAGAGAGAAAGAGAGUAGGCGCAAGGGAAAGCGAACGGCAGCGUAAAGCGAAAAUUCCAUUGAGAUUUUUUAUGAAAUCGAAACGAAAUUAGUUUUCGAUGAACUUUAAAGGCGAGUAAACAGCCGCAGCGGUCCCGCUCGCAAAAUUCGCACGUGUGUCGCAAAGGAAAAAAAAUAGAAAAAUAUCCUACUACCCAUAAUAGAGGCAAAAUUACGUUUGCUGGAAAAUCGGAAUCGGAAAAGCCCUGCUAACGAAAUACGAGUGAAAAGCGCAAAAAGCCCACGAGCAACGGCCGAAACAAACAAAAUUUCAGUAGCAGUAAUUCUGUAAAUAAGCAAAUCAAAACCGAAAACAAAGAAAAAGGAAAAGAAACCCUACGCAAAUACUGGCAUAUGGAAACAUAACUUCAAAACGAGUAGCCCAAAAACUGAAAUAAAAUAAUAUAAAUACUAGAAACUCAAUAGAGCAAAGCUGACUUUUGAGGUAAUUUUGGCGGCGUUCAAGGUGUCCAAAC